CCUACGGGUGGCAGCAGUGAGGAAUAUUGGUCAAUGGACGCAAGUCUGAACCAGCCAUGCCGCGUGCAGGAAGACGGCUCUAUGAGUUGUAAACUUCUUUUGUACGAGGGUAAACGCAGAUACGCGUCUCUGGCUGAAAGUAUCGUACGAAUAAGGAUCGGCUAACUCCGUGCCAGCAGCCGCGGUAAUACGGAGGAUUCAAGCGUUAUCCGGAUUUAUUGGGUUUAAAGGGUGCGUAGGCGGUCGGAUAAGUUAGAGGUGAAAUCCCGAGGCUCAACUUCGGAAUUGCCUCUGAGACUGUUCGGCUAGAGAGUAGUAGCGGUAGGCGGAAUGUAUGGUGUAGCGGUGAAAUGCUUAGAGAUCACACAGAACCCCGAUUGCGAAGGCAGCUUACCAAGCUACUUCUGACGUUGAGGCACGAAAGCGUGGGGAGCGAACAGGAUUAGAUACCCUGGUAGUC
rnacentral:rRNA from 1 species